rnacentral:rRNA from 2 species
AGCAGCCGCGGUAAUUCCAGCUCCAAUAGCGUAUAUUAAAGUUGUUGCAGUUAAAAAGCUCGUAGUUGAAUUUCGGGAUUAGUACGUCGGUCGUGCCUUCGGUACGUACUGGUGUUACUGAUUCCUACCUUCUGACGAACCAUCAUGUCAUUAAUUUGGUGUGGCGGGGAAUCAGGACUGUUACUUUGAAAAAAUUAGAGUGUUUAAAGCAGGCUCGCGCUUGAAUACAUUAGCAUGGAAUAAUGAAAUAGGACGUUGACCCUAUUUUGUUGGUUUCUAGGAUUGACGUAAUGAUUAAUAGGGAUAGUUGGGGGCAUUAGUAUUCAAUUGUCAGAGGUGAAAUUCUUGGAUUUAUUGAAGACUAACUACUGCGAAAGCAUUUGCCAAGGAUGUUUUCAUUAAUCAAGAACGAAAGUUAGGGGAUCGAAGACGAUCAGAUACCGUCGUAGU